rnacentral:rRNA from 1 species
CUCGACACUUAUGAGAGGUCCAGCCUGCCCAGUGACCAAGUUCAACGGCCGCGGUAUCCUAACCGUGCGAAGGUAGCGUAAUCACUUGUUCUUUAAAUGAGGACUAGUAUGAAUGGCACCACGAGGGCUAUACUGUCUCCUUUUUUUAAUCAAUGAAACUGAUCUCCCCGUGAAGAAGCGGGGAUAAACCUAUAAGACGAGAAGACCCUAUGGAGCUUCAAACAACGAUAGCACUGGCCCCCAUUUUUUACCCUCGAGAGAUACCACCUUUAUACUGGCCAAAAUGCCUAUCAGUUUUAGGUUGGGGUGACCGCGGAGCAAAAACCAACCUCCACGUUGAACGGAACUACUCCUGAGCCAAAAGCUACAACUUUAAGCACCAACAAACUGACAUUAAUUGAUCCAACAUGUUGAUCAACGAAC